GGAGAGGUAUCGAAGUGGUCAUAACGGGGCUGACUCGAAAUCAGUUUGAGAGCAAUCUCACGCGGGUUCGAAUCCCGCCCUCUCCGCCA
rnacentral:tRNA from 1 species